GACGAACGCUGGCGGCGUGCUUAACACAUGCAAGUCGAGCGGUAAGGCCCUUUCGGGGGUACACGAGCGGCGAACGGGUGAGUAACACGUGGGUGACCUGCCCUCAGCUCUGGGAUAAGCCCUGGGAAACCGGGUCUAAUACUGGAUAUGACUCCAUGACGCAUGUUGUGGGGUGAAAGCCUUGUGCGGCUGAGGAUGGGCCCGCGGCCUAUCAGCUUGUUGGGGGUGAUGGCCUACCAAGGCGACGACGGGUAGCCGGCCUGAGAGGGCGACCGGCCACACUGGGACUGAGACACGGCCCAGACUCCUACGGGAGGCAGCAGUGGGGAAUCUUGCGCAAUGGGCGAAAGCCUGACGCAGCGACGCCGCGUGA
rnacentral:rRNA from 1 species